UACGUAGGGUGCGAGCGUUGUCCGGAAUUAUUGGGCGUAAAGGGCUCGUAGGCGGUCUGUCGCGUCGGGAGUGAAAACUCGGGGCUUAACUCCGAGCCUGCUUCUGAUACGGGCAGACUAGAGGUAUGCAGGGGAGAAUGGAAUUCCUGGUGUAGCGGUGAAAUGCGCAGAUAUCAGGAGGAACACCGGUGGCGAAGGCGGUUCUCUGGGCAUGACCUGACGCUGAGGAGCGAAGCCAGGGGAGCGAACAGG
rnacentral:rRNA from 1 species